rnacentral:sRNA from 1 species
CGGAGAAGAACGAGCUGAGGGAGGAAAAGCUGGUGUUGAAGGCGGAUAAAGAGAAGACAGAACAACAGUUAAA